rnacentral:lncRNA from 1 species
AAACUGCUUCACUUCUGAGAGACCAGGGCCCUUUCCAGUAGCUUUAGGGAUGCUGUCCAUGACCCAAACUUGGAGGAGGACAAGUGAAUGCAUCUCAUAAAGGAGAAGACUGGGAAGCCAAGGCGGAGAAGGACAUGUGAGACUGGGCAGGCUUCAGCUGUCAUCUGUGGGAAGUGGCUUUUGGUUGACCAGCGGUACUUCCCAGUGUCAGCACGUGUGUUGUGUCGGCAGCUCAGACCUUGCGCUGAGGGGCCCCUGUCCUCAGCCACCCUUCAUCUUGGGAAAACUCUCUGGUGUAGAGCAGGGAGUUGCCUUGCUGAAGUGCCCGCUCUGAAUGAAGAAGAACUGGGUCCUGCAGUCUGUCCACAGGAAGAAGACUGUCUGUGAGCACAGUCUCCAUGUUCACUGUCUCAUGCCGUCCCUGAUAUCAUGGAGGAAAUGAAUGGUCAUUUAAGAAUCCUCAUUGGCUAAAGAGCUGGUGGUUUAAAUGAAUGAAUCUAAUGCAAACUGUGAAGGGCUGGUCCUGGUAUUAAGAAGAUGGACGAUUCUGUGAAGGGAAUGUGCUAAGACUUGUUUGUUGAAAAUGGAAUUAUUAAUGGCUUGUCAGUAAAGUUAAGAAUGCCUUAAAUCAUUCCUCUCUUACUCUAUUCAUAGAAGAAAUAAAACAGAUGAAUUUAUAAAGG